rnacentral:rRNA from 1 species
UACGUAGGGUGCAAGCGUUGUCCGGAAUUAUUGGGCGUAAAGAGCUCGUAGGCGGUCUGUCGCGUCUGGUGUGAAAACUCAAGGCUUAACCUUGGGCCUGCAUCGGGUACGGACAGACUAGAGUGCGGUAGGGGAGACUGGAAUUCCUGGUGUAGCGGUGAAAUUCGUAGAUAUCGGGAGGAACACCAGUGGCGAAGGCGGCGCCCUGGGCCAAUACUGACGCUGAGGUGCGAAAGCGUGGGGAGCAAACAGG